GAGGAUGUACUGAGUAAAGAUGCAGGGGAAUGUGCAAUAUGCCUUGAAGAACUGCAGCAGGGAGAUACUAUAGCACGACUGCCUUGUCUAUGCAUAUAUCAUAAAGGCUGCAUAGAUGAAUGGUUUGAAGUAAAUAGAUCUUGCCCUGAGCACCCUUCAGAUUAAGCAUCCGAUUCCUGUUUCAUAGGUUUUCUUGUCGUUUCAAGAUGCUUGAAAAACCAAGAGGAUAUGAGGAUCUGUCUCUGGAGAAACAAAAAUGCAGGCAUACUCAGCCAGAAAUCUGGGUUUUGUGAGACUUGGUAAUACAGAGAUGGACAAUCAUAUAGGGAAAAAAAAUCCUGCUGAAGAGAGGACCGUUACCACAGAACUCAGUGUACCAAACAUGCAUAUUAAGGACACACAGGGAUUUUGAAAAUGCUGCACAUCCCUUAGUAGUCAUCUACAUAGGUAAUACUGAUAAACAUUUUGUAUCCAUACGCCAAAGUUAACUGAUUUAAAUGUUGAUUUACUUUUUAUUCAGUUCUCUAGAACUGUACAACUAGUUGUAUUUUGAUUUGUUUGGUUUUUUUUUUUUUUUUUUUUAGUUUGGGGUCUCUUUAUUUUCCCCAACAUAGUGUUUCUGCAUUCAUCUAUUCUUAAAUUGAAAACCACAUAAUUUACUUCUUAUAAAUUAAAGUCUUAAAUGUGAAACCAAGAAAUGUAAUCAAGCAGUAAAAACAUUUUCUGAAUGUAGACUAUGAUCUCAAGUUCUCCCAUUUUUUUCUCCAAAAGUGAAAUAGACUUCUACAUAGGAAAGCUAAAAUAUGUUAGUAUUUUUAAAUUAAAGGUUUAAUAUUAUCGGAAUGCAGUCCAAAGAGUAAAUCAAGUUACAUAAUUACAUAUUAAAUAAAUAUAUAAUUGUCUACUGAAUUGCAGUUUAUUAAAUAUAUUGUUUCCUCUUAAAUAAAACUGCUCAGCAGUUAAUCAGCAGUGAAUCAUCUUGCAGCUAUGCAACUUUUUGAAAAAUACCAAUUAUCAAUUUUAAGUGCUGCCAGUUACAAUAACUUUGUUUUAACGGGUAUUUUUUUGUUUGUUCUUUUCAUGUAAUUAUUUUAUUGUGCUUCGCAUCUCCAGGCAGUUUUUCUAUAUUUGGUUAAAAUGUUUAGCAGGUUGUAAACUUAAUAACUUAAGAAAAGGGUAAAAUAAAAUUUUCUGGAGUGAAACUUGGAGUAAUUUGAAGGAUAUUUUAUAUACUUUUAAAAAUCAGAAUUUAAUUGGGAUGUCAGAUUUAUAGCAAUUUGCAUCUUUAAUUUUCCAGAUAAUCUGGAGGUUAGCAUUUGCUAACUGAUUUUUUUAAAGCAAGUGUGAAGAUUUUGUUAAUUUAUAAUUUAUUAUUAUUGUGUUAUUACUGUAAUUGAAAAUGUUAUAGAGAGUCUUAAAUUCAGUCUUGUGUGGAAAAAACUAUGUGAAUAAAUACUCCCACAAAAUACAUCUGAAUGGAUAAAAAUACUGGAAGAGAGCUGUUAGGGCUACAAUAGUGAAUGUCUUUUUUUUUUUUUUUUUAAAUGUCAAAAAUACCGAUAAGUAGGUUUUGUGUUUUCAGUAUAGGGAAAAUGUUAUCAGUGAAUACUUAGGCAGUGCACUUUACUUGAUAUAAUUGAAAGUUACACAGUACUGUUUUCUUAUUUUAAGCUUUCUUUAAUAUAUUUAAGAAUUUGCUUUUUUAAUUUACUGCUGCUACUUAUUCUUCUCUGAAUUUUUUUUCCCUAUUCUGUUGCUUCCGUUUCAUAUUUUUAAAAGGGCAAGUACAGGAGCAACUGCUGCUACCCAGAUACACUUAAUUAUAAAUAAGUAAAAGUUUUUAAUUGCUUUCUGUGUGA